CCAUCGAUGGUGAUGAUGAGGGUCAAUUCCUCCUUCAAAUGGCUUGGAAAUUAUAUGAGAGAGAUAUGCACCUAGAGUUGGUGGACAAAACCUUAAGCCCUUUUGACUAUGAUGAAGAAGAA